rnacentral:rRNA from 1 species
AACGGGUGGAGCUUGCGGUUUUAAUUGGAUUCAACGCCGAAAUCUUACCGGGACCGACAGCAAUAUGAAGGCCAGGCUGAAGACUUUGCCGGAUUAGCUGAGAGGUGGUGCAUGGCCGUCGUCAGUUCGUACUGUGAAGCAUCCUGUUAAGUCAGGCAACGAGCGAGACCCACGCCCACAGUUGCCAGCGUACUCUCUGGAGUGACGGGUACACUGUGGGACCGCCGCUGCUAAAGCGGAGGAAGGAAUGGGCAACGGUAGGUCAGUAUGCCCCGAAUAUCCCGGGCUACACGCGAGCUACAAUGGUUGGUACAAUGGGUAUCUACCCCGAAAGGGGACGGGAAUCUCCUAAAACCAAUCUUAGUUCGGAUUGAGGGCUGCAACUCGCCCUCAUGAAGCUGGAAUCCGUAGUAAUCGCGUUUCAACAGAACGCGGUGAAUACGUCCCUGCUCCUU